UACGAAGGGGGCUAGCGUUGCUCGGAAUCACUGGGCGUAAAGGGUGCGUAGGCGGGUCUUUAAGUCAGGGGUGAAAUCCUGGAGCUCAACUCCAGAACUGCCUUUGAUACUGAAGAUCUUGAGUUCGGGAGAGGUGAGUGGAACUGCGAGUGUAGAGGUGAAAUUCGUAGAUAUUCGCAAGAACACCAGUGGCGAAGGCGGCUCACUGGCCCGAUACUGACGCUGAGGCACGAAAGCGUGGGGAGCAACCAGG
rnacentral:rRNA from 1 species